rnacentral:lncRNA from 10 species
CUUUUUUUUCCCCCUCAGCAAACAUAUAAGUAUUCACGUGCAGCCGGAUAAGUAAAACUGCAACUUAAUCUCAGGUUGGUUCAGGUCAGACUUCGCCAUCCUGUAAGCUCGGUUUUCAGGCAUUUGGGGAUUCUGGAACUGAGGAGAGGUGGACGUGGUUCCUUAGGAGAUCAGGCCUGCGAAUCCCCGCGCGGAGAGAGGGCGCUUCGUUCCCAGGCUUCCCUGCCUGCUGGGGGCCAGGGAGGAGACCAGCUUGUUGGAAGCGGAGGCGUCUAAGGAGUUUCCAAAUAGGAAAACCAGCGGCUGCAGGCCUCAGGACGUGGCCGGGCGAGCCGCAGCCUCAUCCCGCGAGCGGGCGUUCCUGGGCUGCCUGCACCCUAAUAUCCUACUUGGGCCUGCAGGAGGGAGGCUCCUGGAAGUCAGGUGCCACCAUCUCUUGCCUUUGUGCUCCUGUAGCACCAAGCACAGAGCCAGGCGCACAGAGAGGCUUUGCAAGGGUUUGCAGAACCGUCUGUGGGAGGAGUGAACACGCUGGCUAUCCUGGCCCUCCCCACCCCAGCCAGGAGCCCAUCCCGGGCCUGGGACUCUCCACCUUCUUCCCAGACCUGACCUGGCAGUGGACAGCCCAGACUGGAGCUUCCUGCCUGCCACACUGGCUCUCCAGUCCUCAGAGGCCAGAAAGUGGUGAUUUCCUGGAUUGCAGGAUCAGACGGAAGAAUCGCAAGAGCUCCACAUCCCCAGGGACUCAUCUGAAAGACAAUGUGAAGUAAAGACAAUCCUGUUGGUCAGAGUUUGUCUCAUGACCCUACACUGACUGCAUGGAAGGCUGAAGUGUGGAAGAGGACAUGGGUAGUCAACGAGCAUUGAGUGCCUCUGCCAUGCUGGGUAUCCCGGAGGAAGAGGAGACAGAGGCACAGAGGACUGGCAGACUUUGAGGUUGGAUACCUAGGUUCAAACCCAAGCUCUUCUAGAAUGACUAGAAGCUAUGUGACCUUGGGGAAAUUACUAAAUUUCUCCAAGUCUUGCUUUUCUCCUGUGCCAGAUGGGGAUAAAAUAAGAGUUCCUACCUCACUAGGUUGUUGGGAAGAUAAAUCAGACCAUGCUUAUAAAAAGCGCUAGUGGUGCUCAGCACAAGGCUGGCAUUUGUAUUAGUCUGUUUUCACACUGCUAAUAAAGACAUAUCCAAGACUGGGUAAUUUAUAAAGAAAAAGAGGUUUAAUGGACUCACAAUUCUACGUGGCUGGGGAGGCUUCACAAUCAUGACAGAAGGCGAGAGGCAUGUCUUACAUGGUGGCAGGCAAAAAGAGAAUGAGAGAAGCUAGUGAAAGGGGUUUCCCCUUAUACAACCAUUAGAUCUCGUGAGACUUACUCACUGCCAUUAGUACAGUAUGGGAGAAACCGCCCCCAUGAUUCAGUGAUCUCCCCCCGGGUCCCUCCCGAAACACGUGGGAAUUAUACAAGCUACAAUUCAAAAUGCGAUUUGGUUGGGGACACAGCCAAACCAUAUCAGCAUUUAAUAAGUGGACACUAUUUGAUUAGUCUGUUUAGAAAAAGCUGAAGAUGCUCAACAUAUGACUAAAAAAUAGAGCUGAUUGAAAAAUAUAGCCAAAGCCUCCCUUUCAAUAGCUGGCUCCCUUGUCUGCCCCUGCC